CGGGGAGAUGGGAUAAUCCUAUAGAGCCGAAUCCCAGGAUCGAGACCCUGGAAGAGGAGGGACCCUCUUCAAACUGAUCACUCCUUUUAUUGGAGGGCUAGGGUUCUAGCGGGCAUCGCCGAGGGCGCAGGGGAUGGUGUAGAGGUUGCUGACGCGGUAGCAGGCGCUGGCUUGGCCAAUCCGAGAGGCAUGAUUUCUAAUUUCUUGCAUGAAUUGGAGCGGCAGUCGUAGGCUUCCAGGAUCUGGUGAGUGUCGCGUCUAGCAGUGCAUUCUCCUCCACGGACGAGAUUUCCUCGGGGACAUUCCCAUCGAUCACUGGCUCCAGCUUGAGCGUGGAUGGAUCAAAGUCGAGGCAAGCGCAGGUCCCUUGCCGGAUAACUCUAUACUCUCCGGGAAGCAGAAUGUCGAUGGAGAUGGCAGCCGUCGAGCACCAGGUAGCUCCCCAGAUCCCAGAUGAUUUAAGUUUGUGCCGUUCCAGGGGGUGAAGCCAACCACAGCGUGAGGCUGGAGCUCGAGAUAAAAGCUUCCAUGGCUUUUGUUUGUGGGAGAGGCGCUGGAGACAAGCUUUAGUAUGUCGUUGACGAACAGCGAGUCCGUGGGGUGGUCGAAGCUCUGCCAGACUUCCUAGCCAUUCCUGCGGAGGAGGACGAGUAUAGACCGCCAUAGCCACGACUCCUGUUCCUUGGCCGGAGGUGUUGGAAGACCAUACCUGGAGAGGUCCCUGGCUCAGGACUAAGUUUCCAUCGUCGCCAAAUGCGAGGGUCGCGUCUGGGAAGGCUUGCCAGAAACUGGCAACGGUGGUGGAAGAGCUGCAUUCGACGUCCUUGAAGUCGGGCUUCCAGAUCGACAAGUAGAACGAUGGCGGGUGCGAAAGGCGGGUGCCAAAGCUGUAGGAGAAGCCCCUCAUGAUCGUCAGGUUGGGAGCGACCAAUGGAUCGAUCGUCCAUUUCGAGUUGACAAGCAACUAAAGUGAGAGCGGGAUCAAAACACUGGAGGACGAGAAAAUCAAUGUAAAAGCUGGAGAAAGGAAAGUUUUGCCACAUGUUUAGCCAUCUACGGCAGGCUUAUAGCAUCCAUCCGAAAACGACACUCCAUUGGCUUGUCCGUGGAAGAGGAGGAAAGCUCGCCGAAUCUAAUCCUGUGAUAAGUACAGCAGUGGUAAUCCUCGCCAAAAGGAAAAACUUAAAAAGUGCUCUCUCCAUACCUCUAGAAGUUCUUUUGAGUUGAUCCAGCCAACCUGUGACGAGUAGUUGUUGAAGAAACUUGGAAACUCUGUCCGUACCUCUAGAAGCUCGAGUUGGAUCCAGCAAGUUUACUUUGCUUUUCUUUUCUUGUGUUGGGAGAAGGAAUUACGGUUGUCAAGGGACGCGAAUGUAAGUUGCCCUGUGUUGCCGUGCACGAGUUGCUUUGAAGAAAGAUGAUGGCGAAGGUGGUUCGCGGUCAAUUUUGUGAGGUGUCAAUGAAGACUGCUCGUGCUUGCCACUGUCACUUGUCAAGCUGCUCUUGAUCUCUUCGCUUUCUUCCCGAAUCACAACUUGACUGUAGUAUGCGGGAUCCACAUUUUCUGGCGACUGUAAACUCGGUUGCAACUGCAUUGCUUCGAAACUACUGUUAGAGAAAACAGGAAGAGAAAGAGAGACACAAGAAGAGCACGAACCUGUGGAAAAUGGCGCCUGUAGGCCUGAAGACGUAUUUGCGGAGAGGCUAAGCAAUGAAGGAGCUCGAAAAACUUGGACUGGGCGAAUAGAGAAGCGCGCUGCCAGAGAAGAUACGUCAAGUCUUUGGCCUGUCCCCUCAGUUCACCCAAUCUCCGGUCAAUUUCUGGUUCGUAGCUCGUCACAAACGGUUUCAAAAACGUCGUGUAAAUGUAGUUUGUCCCCUGAAAGUAUAAAUUCGAUCUGGCCCCAGACAGUACAAACAAAAACUAUAGCAAACCUUAGUCUUGGGAUACCACAAGUAGACUAUAAAAGCAAGCUUUGCUUCAUUGUACAUCG
rnacentral:lncRNA from 1 species